GUGGGGAAUAUUGGACAAUGGGCGCAAGCCUGAUCCAGCCAUGCCGCGUGAGUGAUGAAGGCCUUAGGGUUGUAAAGCUCUUUCAGUGGGGACGAUAAUGACGGUACCCACAGAAGAAGCCCCGGCUAACUUCGUGCCAGCAGCCGCGGUAAUACGAAGGGGGCUAGCGUUGUUCGGAUUUACUGGGCGUAAAGCGCACGUAGGCGGAUCGUUAAGUCGGGGGUGAAAUCCUGGAGCUCAACUCCAGAACUGCCUUCGAUACUGGCGAUCUUGAGUCCGGAAGAGGUGAGUGGAACUCCUAGUGUAGAGGUGGAAUUCGUAGAUAUUAGGAAGAACACCAGUGGCGAAGGCGGCUCACUGGUCCGGUACUGACGCUGAGGUGCGAAAGCGUGGGGAGCAAACAGG
rnacentral:rRNA from 1 species